UACGGAGGGGACUAGCGUUGUUCGGAAUUACUGGGCGUAAAGCGCGCGUAGGCGGAUUUGCAAGUCGGGGGUGAAAGCCCGAGGCUCAACCUCGGAACUGCCUUCGAUACUGCAAAUCUCGAGUCCGAGAGAGGUGAGUGGAAUUCCUAGUGUAGAGGUGAAAUUCGUAGAUAUUCGCAAGAACACCAGUGGCGAAGGCGGCUCACUGGCCCGGUACUGACGCUGAUGCGCGAAAGCGUGGGGAGCAAACGGG
rnacentral:rRNA from 1 species